rnacentral:rRNA from 1 species
UUAAUUGAAGAGUUUGAUCAUGGCUCAGAUUGAACGCUGGCGGCAGGCCUAACACAUGCAAGUCGAGCGGUAACAGGAGAAAGCUUGCUUUCUUGCUGACGAGCGGCGGACGGGUGAGUAAUGUAUGGGGAUCUGCCCGAUAGAGGGGGAUAACUACUGGAAACGGUGGCUAAUACCGCAUAAUGUCUACGGACCAAAGCAGGGGCUCUUCGGACCUUGCACUAUCGGAUGAACCCAUAUGGGAUUAGCUAGUAGGUGGGGUAAAGGCUCACCUAGGCGACGAUCUCUAGCUGGUCUGAGAGGAUGAUCAGCCACACUGGGACUGAGACACGGCCCAGACUCCUACGGGAGGCAGCAGUGGGGAAUAUUGCACAAUGGGCGCAAGCCUGAUGCAGCCAUGCCGCGUGUAUG